rnacentral:piRNA from 1 species
UGGUCAGAGAGGACUUGAUCAGUGGUGGC